rnacentral:ncRNA from 1 species
GCGAAGAAGGACGUGUAAGCCUGCGAAAAGCGCGGUGGAGCUGGCAAAAAAGCAUUGAUACCGCGAUGUCCGAAUGGGGAAACCCACACAGCAAUGUGUAUCCUAAUCUGAAUACAUAGGAUUAGAGAAGCGAACCUGGAGAACUGAACCAUCUAAGUACCCAGAGGAAAAGAAAUCAACCGAGAUUCCGCAAGUAGUGGCGAGCGAACGCGGAGUAGCCUGUAUAUGAUAAUUAUUGAGAUAGAAGAAAGAAUUGGAAACUUCUACCAUAGUGGGUGAUAGCCCCGUAUUUGAAAUCUCAAUGAUGGUACUAAGUAUACGAGAAGUAGGGCGGGACACGAGAAAUCCUGUCUGAAUAUGGNNNNN